GAUGAACGCUAGCGGCAGGCUUAACACAUGCAAGUCGAGGGGUAUGCUUCUUCGGAAGCAGAGACCGGCGCACGGGUGCGUAACGCGUAUGCAAUCUACCUUUUACAGAGGGAUAGCCCAGAGAAAUUUGGAUUAAUACCUCAUAGUAUUAUAGAAUGGCAUCAUUUUAUAAUUAAAGUCACAACGGUAAAGAUGAGCAUGCGUCCCAUUAGCUAGUUGGAAGGUAACGGCUUACCAAGGCUACGAUGGGUAGGGGUCCUGAGAGGGAGAUCCCCCACACUGGUACUGAGACACGGACCAGACUCCUACGGGAGGGCAGCAGUGAGGAAUAUUGGACAAUGGGCGCAAGCCUGAUCCAGCCAUGCCGCGUGCAGGAUGACGGUCCUAUGGAUUGUAAACUGUCUUUUAUACGAGAAAGAAACACUCCUUCGUGAAGGAGCUUGACGGUAUCGU
rnacentral:rRNA from 1 species